UGGGGAAUUUUGGACAAUGGGCGAAAGCCUGAUCCAGCAAUGCCGCGUGUGUGAAGAAGGCCUUCGGGUUGUAAAGCACUUUUGUCCGGAAAGAAAUCCUUGGCUCUAAUACAGUCGGGGGAUGACGGUACCGGAAGAAUAAGCACCGGCUAACUACGUGCCAGCAGCCGCGGUAAUACGUAGGGUGCAAGCGUUAAUCGGAAUUACUGGGCGUAAAGCGUGCGCAGGCGGUUUGCUAAGGCCGAUGUGAAAUCCCCGGGCUCAACCUGGGAACUGCAUUGGUGACUGGCAGGCUAGAGUAUGGCAGAGGGGGGUAGAAUUCCACGUGUAGCAGUGAAAUGCGUAGAGAUGUGGAGGAAUACCGAUGGCGAAGGCAGCCCCCUGGGCCAAUACUGACGCUCAUGCACGAAAGCGUGGGGAGCAAACAGGAUUAGAUACCCUGGUAGUCCACGCCCUAAAACGAUGUCAACUAGUUGUUGGGGAUUCAUUUCCUUAGUAACGUAGCUAACGCGUGAAGUUGACCGCCUGGGGAGUACGGUCGCAAGAUUAAAACUCAAAUGAAUUGACGGGGUCAUAGCUGUUUCCU
rnacentral:rRNA from 1 species